CCUGACUGAGGAAUGCAGUAUUACCUUCAAAUAAGGAACUUGCAAUUAUACACCAACUUCUUCUGGUGUCAACAUAACUGACAGUACCAGCACUUUUGAGUUAUUAUUCUGGGUUAUUAGCUCUGCACCAGCUCUUGACACAGAAGACAAGUUUCUAUUGAUGCCUAGUGGCCUGUCUUGGACCCUUGCUACCCUGUCCCAUGAACAUUAGAAGGGAAACUAUCCUGUGACCUGCUUCAGAAGUUUCUAAAGCCUGAUGCAUGCUGGCUUUAUCCAUGCUCCUCUACACCCCCAGCCUCCUGAAG